AUUUGAAUUUGCAGCAUUUGUCCGUUCAGUUCAAAGCUAAACGACCGUAUUGCUCCCCUCCCCCACCGCAGGUGUGUGUCAGCCCGGCUGCGUGAACGGCGGCAGGUGCGUCGGUCCAGGUGUUUGCGACUGCCCGUCUGGCUGGCACGGGAACAAAUGCGAGAAACCCAGCUGUCUCCAGAAGUGCCUGAAUGGAGGAGAAUGCGUGGGUUCAAACACCUGCCACUGUUCCCCCGGGUGGCGCGGCACGCUCUGUCAGAUCCCUCACUGUCAACAACAAUGUCUGUACGGGAGCCGCUGCGUCCGGCCCAACGUCUGCGCCUGCAGAAGGGGGUACUCGGGGUCCCAGUGCUCCAAGAAGCUGCCGAUCCUGAGAGGCUGAUCGUCCAACGUUCAACCGACAUCCUGCCAACGCAAAGCUGGUCUUCAUCCAACGCACAGCUACUGCUCGGCCAUCGUCAGGAUAAUGUUCAUCCGACUUUCAGCUAA
rnacentral:lncRNA from 1 species